ACUAAAAAAUCCUGGGUUAUUUUUUCUACCCAAGUGCUGGGUUGAGCCAUUUGGGUAAUUUUUUGGGGUUAUUUUCUCAGUCUUGGGUAGUUUUUGGGUAGUUAUGUGUAACCCAACCGCUGGGUUAUUUUCUGGGUAGUUUUCACUGAGACCUGAAUCAAUGCACCCCUUCCCCCACUCGGACGCAAUAACCCAGCUCAUUGGGUCAAAUCAACUCAGCGCAGGAUCAGCGCAGCGCGGGCUGACUGAAUUCGAGGUGGAGGUGGAUGCCACACACACGCUGUAAUAUUUGGAGAAAUAAGAAAACCACCUUUUGUACACAAAUCUGCCCAUCCCCCAUCCUACUGCAUGCAGUGCUAAGUCAAAACAACCCAAUUUUUGGGUCAUCUGUCGCGGGCAUUUUGGAUCGUUAGCAGGAGAAAUUCUACGGUGCACCUUUCAAGCAGACUGACUUCAGCCUUUUUUCUGGUGAAAUAAAGACCUGCUCUUGACUGUCCUUGGUGGCAAACCCACA